GAGUAACUAUGACUAAGCAAACGAGGGUCACCAAAGCGGGCAGCGCAAGCUGCCCGCUAGUGGGGAGUAGGCGGGAAAGUAAGGCUGAACGAGAGGGGGUGUACGAGUGAGGUUCUCCGGGGCCUCACCCCAAUCCCUGAUCAAGUAAGCCCGGAUCGCCCGUUUGCCGACUGCUACACCGCCAAAUUGCAGGGAAAUCCUAAAGCCCCUUACUACCAAGCGCAUCCCCGGAAACGGGGGCGUGGCCACGGCUAACCACCCUGGGUACGGUAACAAUGUAAGGGGAUGCCCCAAUGGACAACCUGCAGCCAAACGCUAACGGACGAACGGGUCAUCCCCCAGUAGUCCCAUGCGCCCAGUUCAACGACUAAAUGGCAGUGGGUCAUAGCGCCGUCUCCCGUUAGUAGCCACCGUCUCGGUGUGUGAAAGCAGGGGUUGGCAAAGUGGCUUAAGGUAUAGUCUAAGGGUCCCUCGAAAGGGGGAACCUCAACUCGCUCUUAAGGUAGCCAAAUGCCUCGUCAUCAUACGAAGAAAAGCAAGCUAGCGUUCACAUACACGAGGGUUGAGCAAGUACUAGUCUCUCUCCCGCAAGGGAGAUAGCAGGGAACGCAAGGCCUGAGUGACAUCGGGCCCGAGGGGUACUAGGGGGGGCACCCCCAACGACCCCGAAGGCUUGCACCAAAUUGCGCGGAGGAUCCCAAGGGUCCGAUGCACAGCCAAGCCCCGAGCCCCCUUCCGGGGGGGCAAAGGGAAGGUCAAGAGACUAUACGGUGCUAAAGCGGGGUUUUGCCGCCCUGCUGAGAAGAAAUAGUCCAUCGCCAGGUCGUGGAGGAGCUGUAGCGUGUGGCUUGUCGGGUCCUGAUCUCGUCCUCAGGGGCGGGUGUGGGCAAGGCACUGGCCAGUGGCUCGGAUGCUCGGUACUGACCGCUAUAGAUGUUAAUUUGUGACGCGCAUGAAUGAACCGAACGUGCAGGACAGCCGACUCUACCCCCUAUGGGGCCCGGAUAGGCUAGUCGCCCUUGGGCGGCAACAUCACCAAAUUGCGGGAACGCUGUAAAGCCCUGGAUACCAAGCAAUGCGCCCGAAAGGGCCGUGUGGCCAGCCUUAAUCGGCUGGGUACGGUACUCUGGGGAUAUACAAUCAGCCAUCCGCAGCUAAGCCCUACAGCCCGGCUUUGGCCGGGUAUGGGCGCAGCUCACAGACUAAACGGUGGUGGGUGGGAGAUCCCAACCUGUACACCCCCUUCUCUCGGGAAGGGGUUGAGGGUGGGGGGAUCCUGCUUAAGAUGUAGUCGAGGCAAUGGCGAAAGCCAUCUGAUCAACCUGGAAUGGAUUAAUGAGAUUCCCACUGUCCCUACCUACUAUCUAGCGAAACCACAGCCAAGGGAACGGGCUUGGUACAAUUAGCGGGGAAAGAAGACCCUGUUGAGCUUGACUCUAGGCACAGAAGCGAGGUGAUUCUAAAGGUGUAGCAUAGGUGGGAGGACCUGGUCCGCCCUUGAAAUACCACCACUUUCGACAUUGCUUUGCUAAUGCUGUAACGAACGAACGGCCCCCGGGCCGCUUGGGCCGCAAGGUUCAGGUACCCGGUAAGGUCAUAUUCUAGCGCUUUCCUGGCUGGUCAAGAUGGCUUGGCCCCUCUGGGUGAGUACUCUGGGACCGCAAACUGGGCUUCCGGGUCUGGUGCGCGCUGCUCUUGGGGGAACCAGAGAUGGUUGGGCUGUCCUCUGUCUGGCAUAAAUAUGGGUACGUAAAGCCGUGUAGCAGACCAUCUGUGUUGGGGAGUUUGGCUGGGGCGGAAAACUGCUACACGGCAACGGCAGUCUCCUAAGGUCCGCUCAGAGACGACAGAAACGCCUCGUAGAGCAUAAAGGCAAAAGCGGGCUUAACUUACAUUUUCAGUAGUAAUGUGAAGCAAGAAAUUGAGGCUUAACGAUCCUUAGCGUCGGGUGCCAGCCCACGCUUGAGGUGAGAGAAAAGUUACCACAGGGAUUGAUCAAGGUACGAUAGCGAACGGGCGGGAAAGACGGCUUGUGGGUCAAGGGACGGAGGGGGGGGGCAACUGCACGUCAAGUGCACGCGCGCUCUCUCACUGAACCGAGACACAUGGGUUGCCAAUCAGGGGAAGGGCUUCACAAAGGGCGAAAACAGGGGCAACGUAUACCGCCUCCAAGUAGCCAAGAGUGUAACCUGUGAAGCUGGUUGGGCUGGAAAGGGCGGGACUUUGCAACCUUGACGAAAACGCCUUGAUCGACAAAGUAGUCGGGGGAACCAUCGACCCAUACCCAAGAAGGCCAGUAUGCACGGUUCCAUGCGAGGGCUGAAAGCCAGGACAACAACCUUCCCCCCCAUGCUCCGGCAGGAGACGGGGGUUAGGGUAAGUUCACAGCUUUAGGUCCUGUACAUGGUCCCAACAAAGCGAGUCAAGCCGGAGAGUAGCGCAGGUUUCUCUGGUGAGGCGACACACCUGGAUGCUGGGACAGCUCGCUUUAAAGCGGUGGUACCAAGUGUUCUUCGGCGAUACCGAGGCACAGAGUGGCUCCAGUAUAAGACCCUCAACCCCCCCGUCUUCGGGCGGGGGGGAGCGGGGCACUGGAAGCACACGGGUCAUAAUCCACUUAGCUAGAGCCUAUCAGCAGGCAACAAGGUCACUCAAAAGGCUGGGGAUACCGAGUUCGACCAUCAUGGUUGGGCCGGCCCACUGGCUAAUGGCAACAGUGACUGCGUGCUACAACGACUGGGAAGGUGUGGGUGCGGGUCGGUGGCCCUUACCGGUUCUUUUCUCUUGCUCCCGCUCGGGGGGGUGGGGGUGAGGGAGAGGAACCGAAAGGUAAGAGAUCACCAGCACGUGCUGAAGGAACAGUCUGCCCCCACUGCCCCCCUGGCACUACCGCAAGGUAGUUCAGCCGGGGGGUGUGCAGUGCACUCAAUCACAGGAGGGCACCCGGCGGGAAGCACUGGAAUCAAGGUACGACACCCCGGCAGGGGUGAACGCCUUGGUGAAGGUGCUUCAGAGGUGCCCCCGCAACCCCCGACUGCACGGGUUAGGUUGAGUGGGAGGAGCUGGGACCGUUUGAGUAGGGUCACGCACAAGAGGUUUAUUUUUUUCACCCAGUGCACUAGUGACUCGAAAGGGACCUGCUUCUUUGGGCCUGGGAACUGGCUUGUGGCCGCCAAGCGUUCAUAGCGACGUGGC
rnacentral:rRNA from 1 species